rnacentral:rRNA from 1 species
UACGUAGGGAGCAAGCGUUGUCCGGAAUCAUUGGGCGUAAAGAGCGCGUAGGUGGCUUUAUAAGUCCGUUGUGAAAGUCAAAGGCUCAACCUUUGAAAGCCGAUGGAUACUGUGAAGCUAGAGUACGGAAGAGGCGGAUGGAAUUCCUGGUGUAGCGGUGGAAUGCGCAGAUAUCAGGAGGAACACCAAUAGCGAAGGCAGCUCGCUGGGACGUUACUGACACUGAGGCGCGAAAGCGUGGGGAGCGAACAGG